UUACGGCCAUAUCACGCUGAAACACCGGUUCUCGUACGAUCACUGAAGUUAAGCAAUAUCGAGCCUGGUCAGUAUCUAGAUGGGUGACCGCUUGGGAAUACCAGGUGUU
rnacentral:rRNA from 1 species